ensembl:lncRNA
CCCUGGUUCACCCUGGUCUCAGUGGCAGCCCCUCUCCUCAGCUUCUCCUACAGACCAGAUGCUUCUACUCUCUAGGGCUGCCUGGAGCUCCCUGUGUUUAGCGGUGGUUGCCAUGGCAGCAGAGCUGACUCAGGACCAGGUGUCGUGGACCAGGAGAGAAGGGGAAAAUGUCACCUUCAGAUGUACAAACACUGACCAGUGUGCUAACUAUAUCCUCUGGUACCAGAAGAAAGAGACGAAAACAUUCACCGUGAUUCUUCGAAUUCAAAAGAGUAAUGGUAACAUUUACAAAGGAUACAACCAUCCUCAGAAGGAUGAUUUCUCAUCAGUCCUCAAAGAGAACAGCUGUGAGUUGUCGCUUCAGGCGGUGAAUGCGUCCCAUUCUGCCACCUACUACUGUUCCUGUUGGAUUAGUGGUGUCACACAGUGAGACGUUCUCCUUCCUGCCCGUACAAAAACUCUGGUGAUCACAUGACCCAGCAGGUCAUGUCUCAUUGGCUGUUCAAUCUGCAGCCAGGCGCGAAUUUAAACUGGAGAUGAACAGUAAGAUCUGGAUCAAUCCCUGUUAGAUCAGAGCCUGGACCAUACUGUCUGUAGUUUAGGCUUCAAUCCCAGCCUUGAUCUCUCCUUGCUACUGUACAGUGUUAAUAUCAUCACUGAACUGGUUGUUCGUUAGGGUGAGCUGGAUCAAACUACAGAGAAACAGACACACAUCUGGAGGCUCUAAUGGAAGUGGACGACUUCAUGCUGACACCUCUAGAGACAAGAAUUUGGUAAAAUACUGAGCUGUGUGGUAAUGAAGAACUCUUGGAAUAUCUUACAUUGUUGUCUUCCAUGGAAAGGUACAAGUCUUCAGUUGUUACAAAGCCUUCGAUGAAGAGGGAGGAAGACCUUGAGUAAUUUCUACUGAGCACAAGUAGUGACAUCAAGUCUCCUGAUUUACUCUGCAGCCUCUUACAAAGCCCUCCUCUCAGGACAAGAACAUUCAUCCCCACGUCUCCCUUGUAUUGGUGCUGAUAAUCUGUAGGCGAUCGAUGUGAUCAGCAAGUUAUUGAUCAGCGCUGACAGCAUCAAAGGCGGUGAGCAGAGGUUUAUGAUACAGGAUAUUUCACUGUGGGCGUCUAUAUCUUUGGUCGCGGCACCACCCUGGUUGUUACCGAAAGGUCAGUGGAGCGGCCCAAAGUGAGCGUCUACCCAGCGACGGGAGCUGAUUUAAAGGGCCGGCGCUCCCUGCUGUGUGUAGCCAGAGACAUGGUCCCAGCAGAAAUUACCUUGACGUCAGAAGGCCCCGGAAUGAUAGAAAUGACCUUGACUUCAGAAGGCCCCGGAAAGACAGAUGUUACCUUAGCGACGGCAGUAACUACAGACCCCCGGCGUCCAGGGAGACCCAGAGAAGGUCCUUCAGAUGAAACACACCAGUCCCUCCAGGUGCUGUCCAGAGCCAGGCUGGCGUCUGUGCUCUACACAGUGAUGGUGGUGAAGAGUGUGCUCUGCUGCUGUGGCCUGGCUCUCCUGCUCCUCCACACCAACAAGACCAGCAGGACGCCCAGAACCAGCACCACCACAGCCCUGGACUGACGCUGCUGUCCCCCAGAACCAGCACCACCACAGCCCUGGAC